rnacentral:misc_RNA from 1 species
GCUCUUGAAGAGUUGGUAUACACUUUUGGUGGUCCAUGGUGGUUCAGUUUUAUUCUCUUGGGUCUUCUUAUCCUGUUAGCUUUAGUGCUUAGUGUUGCACGGAUGAAAUAUGCUGCUGGGGAUGAAUUACCCGCUCUUGUGCCGCCUCAACGUGAAUCUCGAAUAGAUCACUCCUUUCCAUUCCUCGAGUCACUGAAUGAGGUAUUAGAAACAAAUAGAGUUGAAGAAUCCCAGGGUCAUGUGCAUAGGAUGUAUUUUAUGGGUCCAAAUACUUUCAGCGAGCCUUGGCAUCUACCUCACUCUCCUCCUGAACAAGUGAUUGAAAUUGUAUAUGAGGAUGCAUUCAAUAGAUUUGUGGAUGAGGUUAAUCGGUUGGCUGCUUAUCAGUGGUGGGAAGGAUCUGUCUACAGCAUUCUUUCUGUUCUUGCAUGUCCUCUUGCAUGUUCCUGGCU